AGCUGGAACCGAACCACGACAAAGCACCGUCCACCUAACCUUUGCAGUCAUCCAAAUACCUUCGGUCUACAACGCCAUACUUGAAAGACUUGGGCUAAAUGCCCUCAAAGCUAUAGUCUCAACCUACCACCUGCUGGUUUGGCUCUCGAUCAAAAAUAGAGUCAGAGAGAUGCGCGGGGAUCAACAGCUCGUUCGGCGAUGCUUUCAGAUCUCUGCUUGAAGUAACGAAGCGAAGGA
rnacentral:lncRNA from 1 species